UGGACGGAGAACACGGCAAAAUCUCACCCUUAACAGCUAUAGUGCAAAUGUUUUUGACCCCGAUUGCCUUAGACCUACUUUUUUCUCUGGCCUAGGAGUGGAGUACAGCUAAAGCGUGUGCAAUUUGCUUUGGGAUGCCGUUGAAAGCUUUGUGGCGUGGCCAGAAUGACACGGUUUCCCACGAGCGAUUUUUAGUUUUCCGUGAAGAGUUGGCAAGGCUGGGGUAUAUGCCACUGGAUGCAAUUUCUGCUCCCCAUUCACAGCUCUCUGGCAUUCCUUUCCAGCAUGAAGCCAUCGCAAUGCUCAGCUCUCAAAGCAAAAAUCGAUGCAGCCAUUAGCUAUGCUAAAUUGAAAUCUUAUGAACUACGGUGUGGUUACAUAAAAUGCCAAUUAGUAUGUGGUUUACAUUGUUGCACAUAAAUGUUUUUCAUUAUAUUGUACUGUCAGCAAAUGCUGGUGUGAAACCAGUUUCCAUUCCUCAUAUGGCCACCAUGAGGAGUUUCAGAAAACACACCAGCACGGCUGAAGUAUUCCUUCAGAUUUGUUGUUCGCCCGUCCCCCGGCAACUUCGACUUCUCCACCCAAAGCAACAGGAAUGGAAAUUUUCAUCAUGGAUGGGCACGGCAUAAAAUGCGGCAUUUGUUUGUUCAGCCUCUGUUGCGACAUACGCUCCACGCUCUCCUGCACGCAUCAAAGCCUGAACAAGUGCAGAAAGCAGCAGCUCCCGCUUGCUGCUACUGCUGUUUGUUGUGGUUAUGAAAUCCUAUUUUAGAUAACGUUGCUUCGUCAAUAAAGUGUUGAGUCAUAGGAUCUGAGAAAUAUUGUACACAUAACCACUGGGGACCUGUAUCUAUUAAGCUGUCUAGGAUGCUUCCUAUUAAAUAAUAACAAAAUGCCGUAAUAAUAACUUGGCAGCCUUUUGCCUCUGUCGGUCAGAUAUGUGCUUGCCUGCUUUCCCAAACUCCUUGUAAGCAUCCUAGCAAGAUGUAGAAUAGGAAGGAAGGCCAUCUCACUCCUGACUUUUGCCUGGACAAGUUCUUAGUCAGUAACUGUCUUAGGGAUUUAUCGCCCCUUCUACGCUUCUCUUUGAAUCACCGCAAGCGGCAGUGAAGUAUGUUGUUACACGGUGCAUUUCCUGAUAACGCCGGGACAGCGUGUGAAUUCGACAGUCUGGGAUCUUGGCAGGUUUCACAUGAGGAGCUGGCUGGGCGGGACAGCAUCUCUAACAGCAGGAGCCACCUCUCAGGAAAUGCUGCAGAAAGAGCUGCUAAUUUGGAUAGCUGGGACAUUUUCCCUGUGAAUGAAUUGCCCAGACAAACACGAAGAGUUGGGUGGGACCCUGUUCUGUUGAAAGGUCCAUCUAUUGGAUAAGACCUUAAACAAGGGCUAGAGAUACCCGUGCAUCAGGAAAGACUCACCAAAACUAUUGAAAAGACCCGAGGUAUUAGCCCCAGAAGCUCAGCAAGACUCCAGCUUUACAUCUUGCCUGUAGACAAUUGGCGAGUAAACUGGACAAGACACUUGAAUUGCAAAGUUUGAUAGAUAAAAAACAAUUAAUACGUGAAAUCUGUCGUUGUUCCUUGAAUGGCAGUUUUGUCAUCCCCAGUCCAAAGUCUUUGCAAACGAUUCGUUGAGGUUUAUUCUCUGCCAUUGCUAUUGAUACAUGCAUUGUAAAAUUCUACCACUACUUGCUGUUCCUCCCAACUCCGUAGCCUCAGAUUGGGUUUUUUGGGUGUGUGUCUGGGAAAAUUUGGGCCCUAAAUAUUUGUUAAGAAGGUGUGGACCACCAAACUACUCUCCCAUUUUAUCAGAGACUUCUGGGUUAGGUAGCACCAGCCAGGAUGUGUUUCCCAGCUGUGAAGUUCUGCAGAGGACAUUUCCAAGGAGACCACAUUUGUGUUUGCUCAAUACAAGACCAUGGAGAUGAAACAGAGGAAAGAACAAAUAUAGAGUAGUGAUUCCAGCAUGUGGGUUUUGUGAUGCAAAAAUAUCAUCCAGAGGGCUUUUUAUUUUGCAUGAAUUCAGUUUUGUGUCCAAAUGAGAUUAUAUUAUUAUAAUUAUACUUAACCUCA